CCUACGGGAGGCAGCAGUAGGGAAUCUUCCGCAAUGGACGAAAGUCUGACGGAGCAACGCCGCGUGAACGAUGAAGGCCUUCGGGUCGUAAAGUUCUGUUGUUAGGGAAGAACAAGUGCUAGUUAAAUAAGCUGGCACCUUGACGGUACCUAACCAGAAAGCCACGGCUAACUACGUGCCAGCAGCCGCGGUAAUACGUAGGUGGCAAGCGUUGUCCGGAAUUAUUGGGCGUAAAGCGCGCGCAGGCGGUUUCUUAAGUCUGAUGUGAAAGCCCCCGGCUCAACCGGGGAGGGUCAUUGGAAACUGGGAAACUUGAGUGCAGAAGAGGAAAGUGGAAUUCCAAGUGUAGCGGUGAAAUGCGUAGAGAUUUGGAGGAACACCAGUGGCGAAGGCGACUUUCUGGUCUGUAACUGACGCUGAGGCGCGAAAGCGUGGGGAGCAAACAGGAUUAGAUACCCUGGUAGUCCACGCUGUAAACGAUGAGUGCUAAGUGUUAGAGGGUUUCCGCCUUUAGUGCUAGAAGUUAACGCUAUUAAGCACUCCGCCGUGGGGAGUACGGUCGCAAGACUAGAAACUCAAAUGAAGUUCGACGGCUGAGACGUGCCGACGGACGACGACGAGGGAGGAGG
rnacentral:rRNA from 1 species